rnacentral:rRNA from 1 species
AGAGUUUGAUCAUGGCUCAGAUUGAACGCUGGCGGCAGGCUUAACACAUGCAAGUCGAGCGGUAACAGAAAUAGCUUGCUAUUUGCUGACGAGCGGCGGACGGGUGAGUAAUGCUUGGGAAUAUGCCUUAUGGUGGGGGACAACAGUUGGAAACGACUGCUAAUACCGCAUAAUGUCUACGGACCAAAGGGGGGGAUCUUCGGACCUCUCGCCAUUUGAUUAGCCCAAGUGAGAUUAGCUAGUUGGUAAGGUAAUGGCUUACCAAGGCGGCGAUCUCUAGCUGGUUUGAGAGGAUGAUCAGCCACACUGGGACUGAGACACGGCCCAGACUCCUACGGGAGGCAGCAGUGGGGAAUAUUGCACAAUGGGGGAAACCCUGAUGCAGCCAUGCCGCGUGUGUGAAGAAGGCCUUCGGGUUGUAAAGCACUUUCAGUUGUGAGGAAAGGUAUGUAGUUAAUAGCUGCAUACUGUGACGUUAACAACAGAAGAAGCACCGGCUAACUUCGUGCCAGCAGCCGCGGUAAUACGAGGGGUGCAAGCGUUAAUCGGAAUUACUGGGCGUAAAGCGUUCGUAGGCGGUUGAAUAAGCAAGAUGUGAAAGCCCAGGGCUCAACCUUGGAACUGCAUUUUGAACUGUUCGACUUGAGUACUGUAGAGGGGGGUAGAAUUUCA